rnacentral:rRNA from 1 species
UACGUAGGGUCCGAGCGUUGUCCGGAAUUAUUGGGCGUAAAGGGCUCGUAGGCGGUUCGUUACGUCGGGAGUGAAAACUCGGAGCUUAACUCCGAGCCUGCUUCCGAUACGGGCAGACUAGAGGUAGGCAGGGGAGAGCGGAACUCCUGGUGUAGCGGUGGAAUGCGCAGAUAUCAGGAAGAACACCGGUGGCGAAGGCGG